AGUCACUGACAUUAGAUACCCUGUAGUCCAGGGUGUAAACGCUGCAGACUUGGUGUUGGAAAUCCUUCGAGGGUAUUCAGUGCCGGAGAGAAGUUGUUAAGUCUGCUACUUGGGAGUACGUCCGCAAGGCUGAAACUUAAAGGAAUUGGCGGGGAGCACCACAACGGGUGGAGCCUGCGGUUUAAUUGGACUCAACGCCGGAAAUCUCACCGGAUAGGACAGACAAAUGAUAGUCGGGCUGAAGACUCUACUUGAUGAUCUG
rnacentral:rRNA from 1 species